AUUAAGAAAGUAAAGAUGAAUGAAAAUGUUUUAAAAGACUAUAUUUCAAAGUCGAAUACAUAGACGGGUAUUGGAACGUGGUUGUUUACUUCAACAGCAGCUGUGGUCGCCUAACAGCACCAGGCCCUAUUGUAGGGGUUUGGAGUUUUACGUAUGAGUACGGACAUGGAAGAUGAGGAUGAAUAUGUGGAAAUUGUAUUUCAUCAGUUAUGGAGAAUAAAGGAAGAAGCAACAAGAAUUGUUUUUCUCCAGAAUCCAUUGAAGUAUUCAUUCAGUAAACAAAUUCCAACAAAAAGGGCGAGGCCGCAGCGACACCCCAGUAAAACUCCACCCUAGUAAAACUCCACGACAGUAAAACUCCACCCCAGUAAAACUCCAUCCCAGUAAAACUCCACGACAGUUAAAUCUCCACCCAAGUAAAACACCAUGAAAGCUUAACUCCAGUCUAGCAAAAUCCAACACGUCGUCAGUGAAAAUCCAUCAACAGUAAAUACAAGCCAUGUCAAAUUUCAUUCAAGAAAUAUGAAAACAAAGGUGUCAUCCAAAGAAGGCAGUACUACACAGUUGCAUAACAAGCCUACAGCUUCUAGCAAGUACAGUUGUUAUUUGCUGCAGCGCCAGUAGAGCAGUUGAUUCCCCCAGCAGUCAAGUGUGAUCUUAACUAGUUCAUCCACCGAGAACAUUCCAAGAACAGGGACCAGAAGUGACAAGCACAGCAAGAAGACAACAGGUAUUCACCAGAAGUUUUACGUAUGAGUACGGACAUGGAAGAUGAGGAUGAAUAUGUGGAAAUUGUAUUUCAUCAGUUAUGGAGAAUAAAGGAAGAAGCAACAA
rnacentral:misc_RNA from 1 species